UACGAGCGGCCGAAACGUUAUUCGGAAUUACUGGGCUUAAAGAGUUCGUAGGCGGCGCAGAAAGUAGGGUGUGAAAGCCCUCGGCUUAACCGAGGAAUUGCGCUCUAAACUACUGUGCUUGAGGAACCUAGAGGUGAGCAGAACUGAUGGUGGAGCGGUGAAAUGCGUUGAUAUCAUCAGGAAUACCGGAGGCGAAGGCGGCUCACUGGGGGUUUUCUGACGCUGAGGAACGAAAGCCAGGGGAGCGAACGGG
rnacentral:rRNA from 1 species